rnacentral:rRNA from 1 species
CAGCAGCCGCGGGAAUACGAAGGGGGCUAGCGUUGUUCGGAAUUACUGGGCGUAAAGGGCGCGUAGGCGGCCAUUCAAGUUAGAAGUGAAAGCCCUGGGCUCAACCUAGGAAUUGCUUUUGAUACUGUUUGGCUUGAGUUCGGGAGAGGUGAGUGGAAUUCCCAGUGUAGAGGUGAAAUUCGUAGAUAUUGGGAAGAACACCAGUGGCGGAGGCGGCUCACUGGACCGACACUGACGCUGAGGCGCGAAAGCGUGGGGAGCAAACAGGAUUAGAUACCCCCGUAGUCCCUGUCUCUUAUAC